UACGUAGGGUGCAAGCGUUGUCCGGAAUUAUUGGGCGUAAAGAGCUCGUAGGCGGCCUGUCGCGUCGGAUGUGAAAAUCCAAGGCUCAACCUUGGACCUGCAUUCGAUACGGGCAGGCUAGAGUUCGGUAGGGGAGACUGGAAUUCCCGGUGUAGCGGUGAAAUGCGCAGAUAUCGGGAAGAACACCCGUGGCGAAGGCGGCUCUCUGGGACGGUACUGACGCUGAGACGCGAAAGCGUGGGGAGCGAACAGG
rnacentral:rRNA from 1 species